rnacentral:rRNA from 1 species
UACGGAGGGUGCGAAGCGUUAUCCGGCGAUUUACUGGGUUUAAAGGGUGCGUAGGUGGGUAGGUAAGUCAGUGGUGAAAUCUUCGAGCUUAACUCGGAAACUGCCAUUGAUACUAUUUAUCUUGAAUACUUUGGAGGUAAGCGGAAUAUGUCAUGUAGCGGUGAAAUGCUUAGAUAUGACAUAGAACACCAAUUGCGAAGGCAGCUUACUACACAGUUAUUGACACUGAGGCACGAAAGCGUGGGGAUCAAACAGG